CAGCAGCCGCGGGAAUACGAAGGGUGCAAGCGUUAAUCGGAAUUACUGGGCGUAAAGCGUGCGUAGGCGGUGAGUUAAGUCUGCUGUGAAAUCCCCGGGCUCAACCUGGGAAUGGCAAUGGAUACUGGCAAGCUAGAGUGUGUCAGAGGAUGGUGGAAUUCCCGGUGUAGCGGUGAAAUGCGUAGAGAUCGGGAGGAACAUCAGUGGCGAAGGCGGCCAUCUGGGACAACACUGACGCUGAGGCACGAGAGCGUGGGGAGCAGACAGGAUUAGAUACCCCCGUAGUCCCUGUCUCUAUACA
rnacentral:rRNA from 1 species